GACGAACGCUGGCGGCGUGCUUAACACAUGCAAGUCGAGCGGUAAGGCCCUUUCGGGGGUACACGAGCGGCGAACGGGUGAGUAACACGUGGGUGACCUGCCCUCAGCUCUGGGAUAAGCCCGGGAAACUGGGUCUAAUACCGGAUAUGACUCCAUGACGCAUGUUGUGGGGUGGAAAGCCUUGUGCGGCUGAGGAUGGGCCCGCGGCCUAUCAGCUUGUUGGUGGGGUGAUGGCCUACCAAGGCGACGACGGGUAGCCGGCCUGAGAGGGCGACCGGCCACACUGGGACUGAGACACGGCCCAGACUCCUACGGGAGGCAGCAGUGGGGAAUUGUUCACAAUGGGCGCAAGCCUGAUGACGCAACGCCGCGUGGGGAUGAAGGUCUUCGGAUCGUAAACCCCUGUCGAAUGGGACGAAAGACUCGUGAGUUAAUACUUUG
rnacentral:rRNA from 1 species